GGCCCAAUAGUAUAGUCGCAUUAUACUCCCUUCGGGACAUUCAAAGUUCUCUCAGGGGAGCCCUGAAAUUGGGAGAGGUCCCGGGUUCAAUUCCCGGUUGGGCCC